CAGAGUAAAUGGGGAAUUGCAUACACAUAUUAGCAAUGGAAAAAAUAUCUGGUUGUGUAUGAUAGAAAGUUUGGUAUUGAAGCCAAAGAUUUUAUUGAAAAAAGUAA